rnacentral:rRNA from 1 species
AUGAACGCUAGCGACAGGCUUAACACAUGCAAGUCGAGGGGCAGCGGGGGAUAAGCUUGCUUUUCCUGCCGGCGACCGGCGCACGGGUGAGUAACACGUAUGCAACCUGCCCCUGUCAGAGGGAUAAUCCGGAGAAAUCCGGUCUAAUAUCGCAUAAAGCGUUUGCGGGGCAUCCUGCGAGCGCCAAAGGAGUAAUCCGGACAGGGAUGGGCAUGCGGCGCAUUAGCUAGUUGGGGGGGUAACGGCCCACCAAGGCGACGAUGCGUAGGGGUUCUGAGAGGAAGGUCCCCCACAUUGGUACUGAGACACGGACCAAACUCCUACGGGAGGCAGCAGUGAGGAAUAUUGGUCAAUGGGCGGAAGCCUGAACCAGCCAAGUCGCGUGAGGGAAGACGGCCCUAUGGGUUGUAAACCUCUUUUGCCGGGGAGCAAAAGCGCCGUGCGCGGUGCUAUGAGAGUACCCGGAGAAAAAGCAUCGGCUAACUCCGUGCCAGCAGCCGCGGUAAUACGGAGGAUGCGAGCGUUAUCCGGAUUUAUUGGGUUUAAAGGGUGCGUAGGCGGACAGUUAAGUCAGCGGUCAAAACGGGCGGCUCAACCGCCUGCCGCCGUUGAAACUGGCAGUCUAGAGUGGGCGAGAAGUACGCGGAAUGCGCGGUGUAGCGGUGAAAUGCAUAGAUAUUGCGCAGAACUCCGAUUGCGAAGGCAGCGUACCGGCGCCCGACUGACGCUGAGGCACGAAAGCGUGGGGAUCGAACAGGAUUAGAUACCCUGGUAGUCCACGCAGUAAACGAUGGACACUAUCUGUUCGGGUCGAAUGGGAUCUGAGUGGCACAGCGAAAGCGUUAAGUGUCCCACCUGGGGAGUACGCCGGCAACGGUGAAACUCAAAGGAAUUGACGGGGGCCCGCACAAGCGGUGGAGCAUGUGGUUUAAUUCGAAGCAACGCGAAGAACCUUACCAGGUCUUGACAUCGUGCGCAUAGUCUAGAGAUAGAUGAAGUCUUUCGGGACGCAUAGACAGGUGGUGCAUGGUUGUCGUCAGCUCGUGCCGUGAGGUGUCGGCUUAAGUGCCAUAACGAGCGCAACCCCCAUCCGCAGUUGCCAGCAGGUAAAGCUGGGGACUCUGCGGAGACUGCCGGCGCAAGCUGAGAGGAAGGCGGGGAUGACGUCAAAUCAGCACGGCCCUUACGUCCGGGGCGACACACGUGUUACAAUGGCAGGGACAGAGGGAAGCCACCGGGCGACCGGGCGCGGACCCCGAAACCCUGUCUCAGUUCGGAUCGGAGUCUGCAACUCGACUCCGUGAAGCUGGAUUCGCUAGUAAUCGCGCAUCAGCCAUGGCGCGGUGAAUACGUUCCCGGGCCUUGUACACACCGCCCGUCAAGCCAUGGAAGCCGGGAGUGCCUGAAGUGCGUGACCGCAAGGAGCGCCCUAGGGUAAAACCGGUGACUGGGGCU